GCUGCGGUGUCCGAGUGGUUAAGGAGAUGGACUUGAAAUCUGUGGGCUCUGCCCGCACAGGUUCGAAUCCUGUCCGCAGCG
rnacentral:tRNA from 1 species